AGGAUAUUACAGUUGGACGUGAUGGCCAGACCUCAUGAGUACCUCUUCCUGGAUGAGGCUGGCUUCAACCUGCAGAAACGAAAGCAAAGAGGCCGUAACGUCAUUGGCCAAAGAGCCAUCACUGAGGUUCCUGGCCAACGGGGGGGUAAUAUUACUCUUUGUGCGGCCAUGGGUUUGGAGGGGCUUGUCCACCGGCAUGCUGUCCUUGGGUCUUACAACACCCAAUGUCUCCUCACCUUCCUAGAGGAGCUAAAAGACAUCCUUCUGGACCGCCAACAACACCAUCCUGGGCCCGCACAUCACAUUUAUGUGAUCACUUGGGACAAUAGGAGUUCUUCUCAUUGUGGAGAUGGAAGGUUUAUGACAGACAACCAUACACUAGAGAGAACCUCCUAAGGGCAAUGGAGCUGGCCUGUGUUGACAUCCCAGUGGAGUCCUUCCAAGGAUGGAUUUGCCAUUCCAGGGCGUUUUUCCUGCGGUGCCUGGCAAGAGACAAUAUAGCCUGCGAUGUGGAUGAGGUGAUGUGGCCCGAUGCAGCUCAGCGACAUGAU
ensembl:lncRNA